GACAAAAAUGUCAUAGAAACAAUUUUUUAUACCUAUAUAUGCAUACAUAUAUUUACAUAUUUGCAUGCAUUUUGAUCAAAGGCGAUAAAGCAACUGAUCAUAAAGUGGUGGACUGCAUCAUGUUUUGACUCUUCAGCAUAGCCUUGCUAUGAAGUCUCCAGUUUUAUUCUCAGAGAAUCUUCAUUUCUGGUCAUUGGCCUUCCUGUUGUCCACCUUUUCUUGGAUGAAGUCUAGACAAGAAGAUAAUGAGAAGAAUUAAAAAUGUCAGUGGGAUUCUGCUGUAAGUUGUUUAUUAUGUAUUAUUCUCCUUUCCUGAUGGGUUAUCCACUAUACUUGUUUCUUCUACUUCUGUGCAGCAGUUAACAACCAUCUUUCAGUUGGUCUGGUCAACAGGAGAAGACAUGAGACUGAUACCUUUUAUCAUCAUGCAUCAGAAUUGUCAGUCUAGAAAUGGUAAGGUAAGAAUGCAGAACUUAUCUGAAUCAAAUCUCCAGAAAAAGAUUUAGCCAGAGAAAG
rnacentral:lncRNA from 1 species